AAUAAAAUGACUCGAUAUCAAAUGUUUGAGUCAGCUUCUGUUGACCAGAGCCGGAGAAAAAGAUGCAUAUGACAGCGCUUGUUUUCGGUCUUGUCUUACUAAUGCAAGCAGGAUGUGGCCCACUUUUGGCCGAGACCGUGGCCCCAAUACAACCUGACUCUCCAGGGAUACUGCAGAGGCUGGCAGAGAAAACCAG